UACGUAUGGUGCAAGCGUUGUUCGGAAUUAUUGGGCGUAAAGGGUAUGUAGGCGGAUUUGUAAGUCAGAUGUGAAAACUGCGGGCUCAACCCGUAGCUUGCAUUUGAUACUGUAAGUCUAGAGUUUGGGAGAGGGAAGCGGAAUUCCUGGUGUAGCGGUGAAAUGCGUAGAUAUCAGGAGGAACACCGAUGGCGAAGGCAGGUCUCUGGGCUGACACUGACGCUCAUGCACGAAAGCGUGGGGAGCAAACAGG
rnacentral:rRNA from 1 species